GUUGUGGGUCCGUUGGGAUAAUGUCUUAUUGUGAUGUUGUGCUACCUUUUUCAUGACUUCUUCAGAACUAUUUAAGUACUGUCCAAUACUUAUUAUGAAUGUUAAUGUGUCUGUUCAGGUCGCUCUUUCGUCGAAAUCUUCGAUCACAUUCAGAACAGCCAAAUUGUUUUUGUCCUGUGUGAAUUAUCAUGUGUUCAUUCAGGCCACUCUUUUGACCAAAUCUUCGACCACAUUCAGAACAG